rnacentral:rRNA from 1 species
GACGAACGCUGGCGGCGUGCUUAACACAUGCAAGUCGAACGGAAAGGCCCUGCUUUUGUGGGGUGCUCGAGUGGCGAACGGGUGAGUAACACGUGAGUAACCUGCCCUUGACUUUGGGAUAACUUCAGGAAACUGGGGCUAAUACCGGAUAGGAGCUCCUGCUUCAUGGUGGGGGUUGGAAAGUUUCGGCGGUUGGGGAUGGACUCGCGGCUUAUCAGCUUGUUGGUGGGGUAGGGGCUUACCAAGGCUUUGACGGGUAGCCGGGCUGAGAGGGUAACCGGACAAAAUGGGAAGGAGAUGAGGCCCAGACUACUAAGGGAGGGAAGAGGGGGGAAUAAUGUAAAAUGGGCGGGAGGCUGGAGCAAGAAAGCAGGGGGGGGGAAGAAGGGCAGUGGGUUGGAAAACGAAGUUGCCUGGGACGGAAGGGGAAUGACGGUAAAGGGUGAAGAAGCACCGGCUAACUACGUG